rnacentral:tRNA from 1 species
CAGGGAGAACCAACUUCAAGUGAUGAUCACAUUUUUUUCGUGAUCCAUUUGACUGUUCAACCCUAUGGUCGAUCGGUACCUCAAUGAAUGAGAUGUUAUCUCGUUCAUCUCGGUUCUUAAGCUUGUCUAGGUCACUACCCCAUAGCUGAUAAGCUGUGGAGGAUGGGCCCGAGAGGGUUCCUGGGCCAUUAGCUCAGGUGGUUAGAGCGCACCCCUGAUAAGGGUGAGGUCCCUGGUUCAAGUCCAGGAUGGCCCAUCGGGAUUGGGGGUUUAGCUCAGCUGGUAGAGCGCCUGCUUUGCAAGCAGGAUGUCAGCGGUUCGAGUCCGCUAACCUCCAUCAAUUCUGAUGUGGGAAACGGCAGGACGCCAUGGUGAUCUAGGGGAAGGUUUGUUGGUGAAUCCAGCCUCGUUUGAUACUCGUUAGUCGAGCUCAAAUGAUGCUGGACUCAGCAAUGGGUUCAGCAAGAACCUUGACAACUGCAUAGGUGAGUCUGGAAAUAAGCAUCUCACAGAGAUGAUCCAGACAUUGAUUGAUGAUUUUGGUCAUCAAUGGAUGGAUGGAUUGUUAAUUCUGUGGAAGCCGAGAUCCAGUUGACUUGUCAACUGGAGAGUGAAAAU